rnacentral:rRNA from 1 species
CCUACGGGUGGCAGCAGUGAGGAAUAUUGGUCAAUGGACGAGAGUCUGAACCAGCCAAGUAGCGUGAAGGAUGACUGCCCUAUGGGUUGUAAACUUCUUUUAUAUGGGAAUAAAACAGGGUAUGCAUACCUUUUUGUAUGUACUAUAUGAAUAAGGAUAGGCUAACUCCGUGCCAGCAGCCGCGGUAAUACGGAGGAUCCGAGCGUUAUCCGGAUUUAUUGGGUUUAAAGGGAGCGUAGGUGGGUUGUUAAGUCAGUUGUGAAAGUUUGCGGCUCAACCGUAAAAUUGCAGUUGAAACUGGCAGUCUUGAGUACAGUAGAGGUAGGCGGAAUUCGUGGUGUAGCGGUGAAAUGCUUAGAUAUCACGAAGAACUCCGAUUGCGAAGGCAGCUCACUAGACUGCGACUGACACUGAUGCUCGAAAGUGUGGGUAUCAAACAGGAUUAGAUACCCGAGUAGUC